UAACUGGGUAAAAUCCUUUCCACACAGGGCACAAUGGUGUGGCUUCUCCCCUGUGUGUGUCCUCUCGUGUGAUUUUAGGUGAUGCAAUCCUGAAAAUCUCUUUCCACACUGGGAACAUUGGAAAGGUUUUUCUCCUGUGUGUAUUCCUUUAUGCUUUUUCAGGCUCCCCAACUGGGUAAAACUCUUUCCACACUGGGAGCAGUGGUGUGGUUUAUCCCCUGUGUGUGUCCUCUCAUGUGAUUUUAGGUGCUGUGAUCGUGAAAAUCUCUUUCCACACUGGGAACAUUGGAAAGGCUUUUCUCCUGUGUGUAUUCCUUUAUGCUUUUUCAGGUUCCCUAACAGGGUAAAACUCUUUCCACACUGAGAGCAGUGGUGUGGUUUCUCCCCUGUGUGUGUCCUCUCGUGCUGUUUCAGUUUCCAUAAAAACUUAUAACUCAAA